GUCGAACGAGAAAGGGGUAGCAAUACCCCCGGUACAGUGGCGAACGGGUGAGUAACACGUGGGUAACCUAACUCCGGGUUUGGAAUAACCCGCCGAAAGGCGAGCUAAUACCGGAUGAUGCCGUGGGAUCGCAGGAUUCCGCGACCAAAGCCGACCUCUUCCUGAAAGUUGGCGCCUGGGGAGGGACCCGCGCCCCAUUAGUUAGUUGGUGAGGUAACGGCUCACCAAGACUCCGAUGGGUAGCCGGCCUGAGAGGGCGAUCGGCCACAGUGGAACUGAGACACGGUCCACACUCCUACGGGAGGCAGCAGUGAGGAAUCUUGCGCAAUGGGCGAAAGCCUGACGCAGCGACGCCGCGUGGACGAUGAAGGCCUUCGGGUCGUAAAGUCCUGUCGGGUGGGAAGAAAAUUCCGGGGCUAAUAUCUCCGGAACUUGACUGUACCACCAAAGGAAGCCCCGGCUAACUCCGUGCCAGCAGCCGCGGUAAUACGGAGGGGGCCAGCGUUGCUCGGAAUUAUUGGGCGUAAAGGGCGCGUAGGCGGUUUGGCAAGUCUGAUGUGAAAGCCCACGGCUCAACCGUGGAAGUGCAUC
rnacentral:rRNA from 1 species